rnacentral:lncRNA from 1 species
AUUAUUAUAUUUUUUUGCUUUUCUUGAACCCCAAAACUUUUUUCUCUUUUUCCUUUUCUUGAACCCCAAACUUCUUUGAUUGAUUUUUUUUAUUUUUCUUGAACCCCGGACUUCUUUGAUUGAUUUUUUUUGUUUUUCUUGAACCCCAGAAUUUUUUGAUUUGCACGGAUGAUCCCCGAUCACCGCAUCUGAACCCCGACUGUCACUCUCGUUUGCCAAACAAUGAACCCCGUUCUCCAUUUGAACCCCAGUCGCCUGACG